rnacentral:rRNA from 1 species
AAUAUUGGACAAUGGGCGCAAGCCUGAUGCAGCGACGCCGCGUGGAGGAUGAAGGCUUUCGGGUCGUCCACUCCUGUCUGGGGGGAUGAAUACUGACAGUACCCCCGGAGGAAGCCCCGGCUAACUACGUGCCAGCAGCCGCGGUAAUACGUAGGGGGCGAGCGUUGUCCGGAAUUAUUGGGCGUAAAGGGCGCGUAGGCGGCUUUACAAGUCAGACGUGAAAGCCCCGCUUUUAAGGUGGGAAGUGCGUUUGAAACUGUAGGGCUUGAGUGCAGGAGAGGAAAGUGGAAUUCCAAGUGUAGCGGUGAAAUGCGUAGAGAUUUGGAGGAACACCAGUGGCGAAGGCGGCUUUCUGGACUGUAACUGACGCUGAGGCGCGAAAGCGUGGGGAGCAAAC